rnacentral:rRNA from 1 species
GACGAACCGUGCGAACGUUGUUCGGAUUCACUGGGCUUAAAGGGCGCGUAGGCGGGUGGUCAAGUCAGGGGUGAAAGCCCACGGCCCAACCGUGGAAGUGCCUCUGAUACUGAUCGUCUUGAGGGAGGUAGGGGCAUGCGGAACUUCCGGUGGAGCGGUGAAAUGCGUAGAUAUCGGAAGGAACGCCGGUGGCGAAAGCGGCGUGCUGGACCUCUUCUGACGCUGAGGCGCGAAAGCCAGGGGAGCGAACGGG